CCUACGGGCGGCAGCAGUGGGGAAUAUUGGACAAUGGGGGGAACCCUGAUCCAGCCAUGCCGCGUGUGUGAAGAAGGCCCUCGGGUUGUAAAGCACUUUCAGUGAGGAAGAACGCCUGGUGGUUAAUACCCAUCAGGAAAGACAUCACUCACAGAAGAAGCACCGGCUAACUCCGUGCCAGCAGCCGCGGUAAUACGGAGGGUGCGAGCGUUAAUCGGAAUUACUGGGCGUAAAGCGCGCGUAGGUGGCUUGAUAAGCCGGUUGUGAAAACCCCGGGCUCAACCUGGGAACGGCAUCCGGAACUGUCAAGCUAGAGUGCAGGAGAGGAAGGUAGAAUUCCCGGUGUAGCGGUGAAAUGCGUAGAGAUCGGGAGGAAUACCAGUGGCGAAGGCGGCCUUCUGGACUGACACUGACACUGAGGUGCGAAAGCGUGGGUAGCAAACAGGAUUAGAUACCCUAGUAGUC
rnacentral:rRNA from 1 species